rnacentral:rRNA from 1 species
GCUACGGGUGGCAGCAGUGGGGAAUAUUGCACAAUGGGGGAAACCCUGAUGCAGCGACGCCGCGUGAGUGAAGAAGUAUUUCGGUAUGUAAAGCUCUAUCAGCAGGGAAGAAAAUGACGGUACCUGACUAAGAAGCCCCGGCUAACUACGUGCCAGCAGCCGCGGUAAUACGUAGGGGGCAAGCGUUAUCCGGAUUUACUGGGCGUAAAGGGAGCGUAGACGGCGGAGCAAGUCAGAAGUGAAAACCCGGGGCUGAACCCUGGGAGUGCUUUUGAAACUGUUUGGCUGGAGUGCGGGAGAGGUAGGCGGAAUUCUUGGUGUAGCGGUAAAAUGCGUAGAGAUUAGGAGGAACACCAGUGGCGAAGGCGGCUUACUAGACUGUAACUGACGUUGAGGCUCGAAAGCGUGGGGAGCAAACAGGAUUAGAUACCCCUGUAGUC